rnacentral:rRNA from 1 species
GACGAACGCUGGCGGCGUGCUUAACACAUGCAAGUCGAACGGAAAGGCCCUGCUUUUGUGUGGUGCUCGAGUGGCGAACGGGUGAGUAACACGUGAGUAACCUGCCCUUGACUUUGGGAUAACUUCAGGAAACUGGGGCUAAUACCGGCUAGGAGCUCCUGCUGCAUGGUGGGGGUUGGAAAGUUUCUGAGGUUGGGGAUGGAAUCGCGGCUUAUCAGCUUGUCGGUGGGGUAGUGGCUUACCAAGGCUUUGGCGGGUAGCCGGCCUGAGAGGGUGACCGGCCACAUUGGGCCUGAGGUACGGCCCAGAGUCCUACGGGAGGCAGCAGUGGGAGAUAUUGCACAAUGGGCGGAAGCCUGAUGCAGCAACGCCGCGUGCGGGAUGACGGCCUUCGGGUUGUAAACCGCUUUCGCCUGUGACGAAGCGUGAGUGACGGUAAUGUGUAAAGAAGCACCGGCUAACUACGUG